GAUGAACGCUGGCGGCGUGCCUAAUACAUGCAAGUCGAGCGAAGCGGGGACGGGUGAGUAACACGUGGAUAACCUCCGAUAUUACUGGGUCAACUUCGGGACACCUGAGCUAAACCUGAUACUUAUCGAUGGAUCCGCGCUGCAUUAGCUAGUUGGUAAGGUAACUGCUUACCAAGGCAACUAUGCAUAGCCGACCUGUUAGGUUGAUCGGCAACAUUGGAACUGUAACACGGUCCACCCUCCUACGGGAGGCAGCAGUAGGGAAUCUUCCGCAAUUUGCGAAAGCCUGACCGAGCAACGCCGCGUGAGUGAUGAAGGUCUUCAGAUCGUUAAACUCUGUUAUUAUGGAAGCGGUAUCUAAUCAGAAAGCCACGGCUAACUACGUGCCAGCAGCCGCGGUAAUAC
rnacentral:rRNA from 1 species